ensembl:lncRNA
GGUGGGUCGAUACGGACAGUAUUUUCACUACUUGCUCUCAUCAGGCUAGAAAAUAAAACAAGGCAGCUAACUGACCUCUUUACACUGGUUCAGAAUCACCAAGAACGGUUUAGGAAUACUGGCAUUUUAACAGCUUUUUAAUGAUAAUGUGUCCCAUCUUGAUGGUCAUUGGUGAGAGAACUAGUCCAUAUUUUGGAAAGGACAUUUCCAAGAGCAGAAUCAUAAGCAGUAGCACCCAGGGUGUUUUGUCUUAAUGUACCCCAGUCUCAGCUCCCCCCGUUAUCCUAAAUACAAGACAUCCAGCUUUCAUAGGUAAUCACAUCUAGGCUUUUCUCACCAACAUGUCCAUACAAACCAAUCUCUCCCACCUCCUAUCUGCCCCCUUCUCACCUCUGCCCCCAAAUUUUCCAUAAUUGAAGUGCUAAGUAAUGGUUUAAAAGCAAAAGGUUGGUAUUGGGGGAAAAAUUCACAAAGGCUAGUAAGGUCUUAAAAUGCUCAUUCCUUGGUGUUCCCCAUGUCUGAACCUGUUUUGUUUCUGUGCCUGUUACCUGUUCCGCACACCCCUCAGGAAGGAGUCAAGCCGUUCACUGAAGAGUUUAGACCCAGCCACCCGACUUAACUCGAGAGGACUGCCUGAGAUGCCAGAUGCCUUCAGGUGGGAAUAUGAUGUUCACGUAAGCUGAGGUCAGCUCCAGGCCACAGCAGGAGCAAAGAACACAUCCGUGUCCUCCAAGCUCUCUACCAUAUGACCGUCUCAGAAUAUGUAAGCCUUUGUAAACUCUGUGUAACCAGCUCCCCAGAGAAGCAUAUCGUCUGAUUACAUAGCCACCUCCGUGGAUUAUUCUUAUUCUUUCACAUCACAAGGAGUCCUGGAUCAGAAAAAAAAAAAAACCACCUAUGGGCAAUAAAUUAAACAUUAUCAGGAUAAAGUUAUACCUCCCACCACCAUCAUAACCAGGUCGAAAUUUAUACACCCAAGCACAAACUGAGUAGAUCUAACCAUUUUUAACCCCCAAAGCUUCAUCUUACAUACACAAGAGAUCUGAAUUCAUUUUCUUGAAAACUAGAACGAUGAAUUUCUUGAAUUGUCAACAGUAAUUUUGUAUGAGCUUUGCUUUAAACAUUGUUUUGGUUUUGCCUUGAGCUCAGGUAUUUAUAAUUUUUCCUGUCUUGCCCCAACCCUGUUUCACAUUCAUUAUCUGGAAAUCUAUCAGGCCAAAUAGUUACAUGUCCAUAUCCUCCUUAAUAAGCCAAUCACAGAAAGUCGGAAAAACCCCAAGAUAGAGAAUUUGGGAACCCUGGGACUAAUUUCCUCAUUUCACUCCUUGAAUUAAAACCAAAAGUUUUUAAAAUGACCUUUCAUAAAUUUAUAUCUGCCUGCAUGCAAUGCAGGAGAGCCAGGGAUCGAACCCAGAUCUCCCUCAUUGCAGGCGGAUUCUUUACCAGCUGAGCCACAAGGGAGGCCCUAAAGCAGGUAGCAUUUGGAAAAUGUUAAUACCAGAAUACAAUUCACUUUUCAGCACUUUUUCAUCUUGUUUGCGCUCAACUUUCUAAACCUGCGCAAACCCAAAUCUGCCUCCAGAACUCAAAAAAAAAAAAAUCAAAGUGGUUGUUGGAACUAGAGAAAAGGAGAGCUAAAUAUAUCCAGUUAUCUGAGAAAGUUUCAAAACAUGCAUAAAUGUGAGAGUCAAAGAAAGGUAGUUACACGAAAGCCACAGGGCUUCGAAUCCCAGUAUUUCACGUUUGGGUUAAUGGUUCUCAAUAAAUAACAAGAUUGUGUCUGUGUUUGACACUUUUGUUCUCAAGCCAGUGAUUACUGAUGGCUUUCUCUCAGAAGUUAUUAAGGACAUAAAAUGUGAAUGAUUGCAAUGCUUAAGGUUAUUUUUUCAUUUGGAAGGUAAAUACCUGUUUUUAUUAUUGUUUUGAUGCCAAGAGCACUCAAGGAUGGCUAAAGAAACACUAGCUUGAGCACAGAAAUAUUGGCACAAGGAGUACUUGUAAGUUUCAGAUCUGUAGUUACAGGUCGUAACAGGUUAUUGAUACACAGAUUUUCACAGACAUCAUUCAGAAAUAAUUUAGGAACACAUCAAAGGUUCUUUUUUGGAAACUAAGGCAUAGAAAACUUUGAAUGAUUAUAAAGAAAGUUUCAAUUCUAAAAGAUAGGAUGACCCAGAGAGAAGGUAUGGGGAGGGAGGCGGGAGGGGGGUUCAGGAUUGGGAACACGUGUACACCCGUGGUGGAUUCAUGUUGAUGUAUGGCAAAACCAAU